UCUCCCGUAGCUCAGUGGGUAGAGCAUCCAACCAGAUCGGACUGCGCAAGGGUCCAUUAGGUUUCGACUCCUGUUGGGAGAG